CUCUCGGCUCUCUCCAGGGAGAAGAAGGAAGAAAGGAAAAAAUUUUCCCUCCCUCUCUCGGCUAGCUCUUAACAGACGAGAACAAAAACCAAACAAAAGAAAAAAAAAACUACUUCCUCAAUCUCCUCUCUCGGCUCUCUCACGGACAGAGGACAAGAAGAAAAAAAAAGACUCCACCCUUUUGGCUCAAUUUGCUCUCUCGGCUCUCUCCCUCAUCAGACAAGAGGAACAAAAAAAAAAAAGGGGGCUCCCUCUACACAUUUUCUUCCACAAAAUCCAAACACAUUUGCACACAACAAGGCAGCAAUCGGUUGGAUUGGAGCUUGGCAAUUUCAUCAAAAAUCUUGGCAAAGGGACCAAACUCUUCAUUGAGGUAUUAAAUUCUUCACCAAAAGCACAAUUUCAAGAAUUAAACACGGCGAGAAGAGGAAGAAGAUGCGCUCAACAAGAGCAAAUUGAAGUGGAAAGCAUAGGUAAAAUUUCUGUCAAAAUGGAGGAGCAAAAGCCAAGACCUUUGAGGGAUUAUACCUUGCUAAAUGAAUCGGGAGCACAAACUAGCAUUGAAAGGCCGGCAAUUAACGGAAACAACUUUGAAAUCAAGUUCUCACUCAUCUAAAUGGUUCAACAACGUCAAUUUGGAGGAAAUGCGAUAGAGGAUCCUAAUACUCAUCUAGCCAAUUUCAUGAAUUUAUGUGGUACAAUCAAAAUAAAUUGAGUAAGUGAUGAUGCAAUUAACUUAAAGUUUU